rnacentral:misc_RNA from 1 species
UGGCUCUCGCAUCGAUGAAGAACGCAGCGAAAUGCGAUAAGUAAUGUGAAUUGCAGAAUUCAGUGAAUCAUCGAAUCUUUGAACGCAACUUGCGCCCUUUGGUAUUCCGAAGGGCAUGCCUGUUUGAGUGUCAUGUAGACUCAUCUAAUCAGACUUUCUGAUUAAGGUGGAUUUGGGGGUUGCCUAUUAGUGGCUCUCCUUAAAAACAUUAUGCAGACGUAAUAAGUUUCGUCGUACGCAUACUCUACAUAUUUUGUACUCUGACCUCAAAUCAGGUAGGGCUACCCGCUGA